AACGAACCAUCCUGAAGAUUGAAGCUUGCUUCAUGAUUCAGACCUUGGUGAGUGGCGGACGGGUGAGUAACACGUGGGUAACCUGCCCAAAAGUGGGGGAUAACAUCUGGAAACAGGUGCUAAUACCGCAUAACAACUACUUUCUCAUGAUCGUAGCUUGAAAGAUGGCUCUGCUAUCGCUUUUGGAUGGACCCGCGGCGUAUUAGCUAGUUGGUGAGGUAAUAGCUCACCAAGGCAAUGAUACGUAGCCGACCUGAGAGGGUAAUCGGCCACAUUGGGACUGAGACACGGCCCAAACUCCUACGGGAGGCAGCAGUAGGGAAUCUUCCACAAUGGGCGAAAGCCUGAUGGAGCAAUGCCGCGUGAGUGAAGAAGGUUUUCGGAUCGUAAAACUCUGUUGUUGAAGAAGAACAUGCGUGAGAGUAACUGUUCACGUACUGACGGUAUUCAACCAGAAAGCCACGGCUAACUACGUGCCAGCAGCCGCGGUAAUACGUAGGUGGCAAGCGUUGUCCGGAUUUAUUGGGCGUAAAGAGAAUGUAGGCGGUUUAUUAAGUUUGAAGUGAAAGCCCUCGGCUCAACCGAGGAAGUGCUUCGAAAACUGGUAAACUUGAGUGCAGAAGAGGAAAGUGGAACUCCAUGUGUAGCGGUGGAAUGCGUAGAUAUAUGGAAGAACACCAGUGGCGAAGGCGGCUUUCUGGUCUGUAACUGACGCUGAGAUUCGAAAGCAUGGGUAGCAAACAGGAUUAGAUACCCUGGUAGUCCAUGCCGUAAACGAUGAGUGCUAAGUGUUGGAGGGUUUCCGCCCUUCAGUGCUGCAGCUAACGCAUUAAGCACUCCGCCUGGGGAGUACGAUCGCAAGAUUGAAACUCAAAGGAAUUGACGGGGGCCCGCACAAGCGGUGGAGCAUGUGGUUUAAUUCGAAGCAACGCGAAGAACCUUACCAGGUCUUGACAUACCAUGAAAAGCUAAGAGAUUAGUCUUUCCCUUCGGGGACAUGGAUACAGGUGGUGCAUGGUUGUCGUCAGCUCGUGUCGUGAGAUGUUGGGUUAAGUCCCGCAACGAGCGCAACCCUUAUUAUCAGUUGCCAGCAUUCAGUUGGGCACUCUGGUGAGACUGCCGGUGACAAACCGGAGGAAGGUGGGGACGACGUCAAAUCAUCAUGCCCCUUAUGACCUGGGCUACACACGUGCUACAAUGGUCGGUACAACGUGCUGCGAACUCGCGAGGGUAAGCAAAUCACUUAAAACCGAUCUCAGUUCGGAUUGUAGGCUGCAACUCGCCUACAUGAAGCUGGAAUCGCUAGUAAUCGCGGAUCAGCAUGCCGUGGUGAAUACGUUCCCGGGCCUUGUACACACCGCCCGUCACACCAUGAGAGUUUGUAACACCCAAAGUCGGUGUGGGUAACCCUUCGGGGAA
rnacentral:rRNA from 1 species